rnacentral:lncRNA from 1 species
GACGCUGGUGGAUCACCUUAGGUCAGGAGUUCGAGACCAGCCAGAGCAACAUGGUGAAACCCCGUCUGUAAUAAAAAUACAAAAAUUAGCGAGGUGUGAUGGUGCAUGCCUGUAAUCCUAGCUACUCAGGAGGCUGAGACAGGAAAACUGCUUGAACCCGGGAGGCAGAGUUUGCAGUGAGCCAAGAUCCUGCCACUGCACGCCAGCUGGGCGACAGUGCAAGACUCUGUCUCAAAAUAAUAACCAUAAUAACAAAUGUUCAGGGUGAUGAAUGUCCUGGGAACCUUUAUUGGAUCGUUACACAUUGCAUGGAUGAAUCAGAUUACCACAUGCUCCCAAGAAACAUGUAUGAUUAUUCCGUAUCAAAUUAAAAUUAUGUGAUUUACCAAUAACUCGAAGUGGAUUGAGGGUCACCAAAUGAAAGUCAGCGUUCCAGUGCCCGCGUCCAGUGGUCCUUGGAGUUUCCAUGUUGAACAGAACCCUCCAGUAUUUCCUGAUGUGCAAGCACUAUUUUGGAUUACAUAAUCUAUUUCCUUUAUUUAUGGGGUCUAUUUUGAGUUUGCCUCCCUAGAAAAUAAAUGCUGCCUCUUUUUGAGCUUCAUGUGCACACCUUCUUUUUAUACUCUUGUUUCUUUACUCAACAUCAUGAUGGAAGGUUGGUUUGCAUUGCUCUUUGUAGAUUUUGUCUGUGCCUCUGCACGGCCUCGUAGUAUCCCUUGGUGGAAUUGAACCACAUCAUAUGAACACAUUUUCCUCUAGGUUCUGUGCUUUGUGUUCAUAGCUGUGUGUCUCUUCUUUUUUUUUUUCUUUUUUUUUUAGAUGAAGUCUCGUACUGUCACCUGGGCCGGAGUGCAAUGGCGCCACCUUGGCUCACUGCACCAACUGGCGCCAACUUGCUUCCGUCUCCCAGGUUCAAGCAAUUCUCCUGCCUCAGCCUCCUGAGUAGCUGAAAUUACAGGCACCUGCCACCACGCCCAGCUAAUGUUUUGUAUUUUUAGUAGAGACGGGGUUUCACUAUGUUGGCCAAGCUGGACUCGAAUUCCUGAACUCGUGUCCGCCCGCCUCAGCCUCCCAAAGUGCUGGGAUUACAGGCAUGAGCCACCGCGCCCGGCCAUGUUUCUUCUUUUUCACUGGGUACUUCUGAUAUUUUCCCCAAAUUGAUUCAAGUAAUUUGCAGUCCUACCAUGGAUGUAUUGGAUUUCUACGUGAGCCCUACUACCUCUGACAUUUGAUAUUGUCAUUUUCAUCAUGUGAAAUGAAUACCUCAACAUUGAUCCCUCUCUUCAGGAAUGAUCGACAGAUAGUCCAGAAAGCAUAGGCUGUA